AUCUCUCUCGCAAGCAUC
rnacentral:snRNA from 1 species